CAAGUACAUAAAAGAAUACAUACUGGAGAGAAGCCCUAUGAAUGUGAUCAAUGUGGUAAAGCCUUUAUACGUUGUAGUCAUCUCCAAGUACAUAAAAGAGAACAUACUGGAGAGAAGCCCUAUGAAUGUAAUCAAUGUGGUAAAGCCUUUGUACUUCACAGUGCUCUUAAGAGACAUAAAAGAAUUCAUACUGGAGAGAAACCCUACAAAUGCAAUCAAUGUGGUAAAGCCUUUGCACGACCCAGUCAUCUCAAAAGGCAUGGAAUAACACAUACUGGAGAGAAACCUUAUGAAUGUGAACAAUGUGGUAAAGCCUUUACAUCUCAUAGUUAUCUCCAAGUACAUCAAAGAAUACAUACUGGAGAGAAGCCCUAUGUAUGUGAUCGGUGUGGUAAAGCCUUUGCAUAUCAUGGUUAUCUCCAAGUACAUAAAAGAAUACAUAGUGGAGAGAAGCCCUAUGUAUGUGAUCGGUGUGAUAAAGCCUUUGCAUAUCAUAGUUAUCUCCAAGUACAUAAAAGAAUACAUACUGGAGAGAAUCUCUAUGAAUGUGAUCAAUGUGGUAAAGCCUUUGCAUCUCAUAGUUCUCUCCAAGUACAUAAAAGAAUACAUACUGGAGAGAAGCCCUAUGAAUGUAAUCAAUGUGGUAAAGCCUUUGUAGGUCAGAAUAAACUUAAAAGGCAUGAAAGAAUUCAUACUGGAGAGAAACCUUACAAAUGUAAUGAAUGUGGUAAAGCCUUUGUAUGUAACGCUUAUCUCCGAAAACAUAAAGCAACACAUACUACAGUGAAACCUUAUGAAUGUAAGUAAUUUAGUAAAUUCUUUGCCUCUCAUGAUCAACUUUGACAACAUGAAAGAAUUCAUACUGGAAAGAAACCUUAUGAAUGUAGUCAAUAUGGUAAAGCAUUUUCACAAUCAAGCCACCUCCAACUACAUAAAAGAAAACAUACAUACUAAAGAGUAACCCUAUGAAUGUAACCAGUGUAGUAAAGCCUUUACUGUGAUCUUCAAGGGUAUGGUGGUUUAAAUAUACUUGGCCCAUGGCAAGUGUCAGUGUUAGGAGGUAUGGCCGUUUUGGAGUAGAUGUGGCCUUUGAGGAAGUAUGUCACUGUGGAGAGGGGAUGGGCUUUCAGACCCCAUGCUUAAACUCUGCCCAGGGCAGAAGAGUCUUCUGGCUGCCUUCUGAUCAAGAUGUAGAACUCUCUCCUCCAGCACCAUGUCUGCUCGGACACUGACAUUUCUUCCACCUUGAUAAUAGACUGAACCUCUGAAUCUGUAUACCUCCCCUCCCCCCAAUUAAAUGUCCUUUCUAAG
rnacentral:lncRNA from 1 species